GCAGUCGUGGCCGAGCGGUUAAGGCGAUGGACUCGAAAUCUAUAGGGGUUUCCCCGCACAGGUUCGAAUUCUGUCGGCUGCG
rfam:Ixodes scapularis strain Wikel colony gcontig_1108378810492, whole genome shotgun sequence.